rnacentral:tRNA from 2 species
UCCGCCAUAGCUCAGCUGGUAGUAGCGCAUGACUGUUAAUCAUGAUGUCGUAGGUUCGAGUCCUACUGGCGGAG